rnacentral:rRNA from 1 species
CCUACGGGAGGCUGCAGUGAGGAAUAUUGGUCAAUGGACGAGAGUCUGAACCAGCCAAGUAGCGUGAAGGAUGACUGCCCUAUGGGUUGUAAACUUCUUUUAUAAAGGAAUAAAACGAGGCACGUGUGCCUUUUUGCAUGUACUUUAUGAAUAAGGAUCGGCUAACUCCGUGCCAGCAGCCGCGGUAAUACGGAGGAUCCGAGCGUUAUCCGGAUUUAUUGGGUUUAAAGGGAGCGUAGAUGGGUUGUUAAGUCAGUUGUGAAAGUUUGCGGCUCAACCGUAAAAUUGCAAUUGAUACUGGCAGUCUUGAGUACAGAUGAGGUAGGCGGAAUUCGUGGUGUAGCGGUGAAAUGCUUAGAUAUCACGAAGAACCCCGAUUGCGAAGGCAGCUUACCAAACUGUGACUGACAUUGAUGCACGAAAGUGUGGGUAUCAAACAGGAUUAGAUACCCCUGUAGUC